GACGAAGGAUGCAAGCGUUAUCCGGAUUCACUGGGUUUAAAGGGAGCGUAGGUGGCUUUGUAAGUCAGUGGUGAAAUCUUCUCGCUUAACGAGAAAACUGCCAUUGAUACUGCAGAGCUUGAGUACAGUUGCCGUUGGCGGAAUAUGACAUGUAGUGGUGAAAUACAUAGAGAUGUCAUAGAACACCGAUUGCGAAGGCAGCUAACGAAACUGUAACUGGCACUGAGGCUCGAAAGUGCGGGGAUCAAACAGG
rnacentral:rRNA from 1 species